UACGUAGGGUGCAAGCGUUAAUCGGAAUUACUGGGCGUAAAGCGUGCGCAGGCGCCAUGCAAGACAGAUGUGAAAUCCCCGGGCUCAACCUGGGAACUGCAUUUGUGACUGCAUGGCUAGAGUACGGUAGAGGGGGAUGGAAUUCCGCGUGUAGCAGUGAAAUGCGUAGAUAUGCGGAGGAACACCGAUGGCGAAGGCAAUCCCCUGGACCUGUACUGACGCUCAGGCGCGAUAGCGUGGGGAUCAAACAGG
rnacentral:rRNA from 1 species